GCUGAUAGAAUGUCUUGGCUCCAUGUUAAUGGCUGCUGACUGAGCAGGGUUGUGGUUGCUAACCCGGCCACCUGCCCUUCCUGCUCUGUGCGGUCGCCCACGCCCUCCAGUCCCCCAAGUCAGCUACAAGCCCAUGUUGAGGUCGCCAGCAGCUGAGGCAGAGACAGAGAGAAAGAGAGAGAAAAAGAUACAGAGAGAAAGAGAGAGAGAGAAAGAGAAAGAGACAGAGAGAGAGAGAGAAAGAGAAAGAGACAGAGAGAGAGAGAGAAAGAGAAAGAAAGAGAGAGAAAGAGAAAAAAGAGAGACAGAGAAAGAGAGAUUUUGGAAGGGAUAUAUUAUUUUAUAUACAAAUACAAAAGUGUUGAUGUAGUUGUCGUAAGAAAUAUCAGAAUUUUUUGAACUCUUCUACAUUUAUU
rnacentral:lncRNA from 1 species